GUAGGUGGCAAGCGUUGUCCGGAAUUAUUGGGCGUAAAGCGCGCGCAGGCGGUUCUUUAAGUCUGAUGUGAAAGCCCACGGCUCAACCGUGGAGGGUCAUUGGAAACUGGAGAACUUGAGUACAGAAGAGGAAAGCGGAAUUCCACGUGUAGCGGUGAAAUGCGUAGAGAUGUGGAGGAACACCAGUGGCGAAGGCGGCUUUCUGGUCUGUAACUGACGCUGAGGCGCGAAAGCGUGGGGAGCAAACAGGGAUUAGAUACCCUGGUAGUCCACGCCGUAAACGAUGAGUGCUAAGUGUUAGGGGGGUUUCCGCCCCCUUAGUGCUGCAGCUAACGCAUUAAGCACCCCCGCCUGGGGAGUACGGCCGCAAGGCUG
rnacentral:rRNA from 1 species